GGGGCGGUAGCUCAGUGGCUUAGAGCGUGGGAUUGCAGUACUCAAAUGCGGUUAUCCUAAGGUCUCGCGUUCGAUCCGCGAUCGCCCUU